rnacentral:rRNA from 1 species
UACGAAGGGGGCUAGCGUUGCUCGGAAUCACUGGGCGUAAAGGGUGCGUAGGCGGGUUUUAAGUCAGAGGUGAAAUCCUGGAGCUCAACUCCAGAACUGCCUUUGAUACUGAAAAUCUUGAGUAUGGGAGAGGUGAGUGGAACUGCGAGUGUAGAGGUGAAAUUCGUAGAUAUUCGCAAGAACACCAGUGGCGAAGGGCGGCUCACUGGGCCCAUAACUGACGCUGAGGCACGAAAGCGUGGGGAGCAAACA